rnacentral:rRNA from 1 species
UACAGAGGUCUCAAGCGUUGUUCGGAUUUAUUGGGCGUAAAGGGCGCGUAGGCGGCGGGGUAAGUCGGGUGUGAAAUCUCAGGGCUCAACCCUGAAACUGCACUUGAUACUGCUCUGCUUGAGGACUGGAGAGGAGACUGGAAUUCACGGUGUAGCAGUGAAAUGCGUAGAGAUCGUGAGGAAGACCAGUGGCGAAGGCGGGUCUCUGGACAGUUCCUGACGCUGAGGCGCGAAGGCCAGGGGAGCAAACGGG